rnacentral:rRNA from 1 species
AGGCCUUGACAUACUAAGAACUUUCCAGAGAUGGAUUGGUGCCUUCGGGAACUUAGAUACAGGUGCUGCAUGGCUGUCGUCAGCUCGUGUCGUGAGAUGUUGGGUUAAGUCCCGCAACGAGCGCAACCCUUUUCCUAUUUGCCAGCGGGUAAUGCCGGGAACUUUAAGGAUACUGCCAGUGACAAACUGGAGGAAGGCGGGGACGACGUCAAGUCAUCAUGGCCCUUACGGCCAGGGCUACACACGUGCUACAAUGGUCGGUACAAAGGGUUGCUACCUCGCGAGAGGAUGCUAAUCUCAAAAAGCCGAUCGUAGUCCGGAUCGCAGUCUGCAACUCGACUGCGUGAAGUCGGAAUCGCUAGUAAUCGCGGAUCAGAAUGCCGCGGUGAAUACGUUCCCGGGCCUUGUACACACCGCCCGUCACACCAUGGGAGUUUGUUGCACCAGAAGUAGGUAGUCUAACCGCAAGGAGGACGCUUACCACGGUGUGGCCGAUGACUGGGGUGAAGUCGUAACAAGGUAGGCGUAGAUGA